UACGAGUGCUUCAAGCGUUAUCCGGAAUCAUUGGGCGUAAAGGGCUCGUAGGCGGCCAACUAAGUCAGACGUGAAAUCCCCAGGCUCAACCUGGGAACUGCGUCUGAUACUGGAUGGCUUGAAUCCGGGAGAGGGAUGCAGAAUUCCAGGUGUAGCGGUGAAAUGCGUAGAUAUCUGGAGGAAUACCGGUGGCGAAGGCGGCAUCCUGGACCGGCAUUGACGCUGAGGAGCGAAAGCCAGGGGAGCAAACGGG
rnacentral:rRNA from 1 species